ACACACGUAUUUAAAAACCUGAUAAAGAUCAUAAAACCGGGCAUAGGUGCGAGUGUGCUAGACAAUGGCUUCAUUCGAUAAUGAUUGACGGGGUCGGAGUAAUUAAAGAAAACAACAUCUGUUUAAUGCAUUAACGAUGUGUGAACAUCGUCAAGUUAGUUAUUAAUCAAUUAGGUUAUGUUGUAAAUUUAUGACGAAUGUUGCAAACACUUUGUAGGCAUAUCCGCGACAGAAUAUUUUAGUGCAAAGAGGGGGAUAUUGUUCUUACCUUCAUCUGCAAUGACUGCCGCAACCGCCCUACAACGCCUGACAUCAGCCUAAACUUAGAAAAUGUCGCGCAGUCGACUAUGCUUGAGGCAUCCGAGGAUCCUGCUUUGCUUCCACGGUUCGAAAUUUCGCACGAUUUCGGAUUGUCCGACGUGUCAGCGUCAGAAGACAUAGCGCUCACCCGAACGUCCGAGUUUGAGCCUUUUGAUUUGACAAGAGUCGAAGUGCAACCGCCCGUUGUGAUCGACGAACGUAAUCUUCCAGAGCCAGCUGUAUCCGACAGUGUACUAACUCAGCCCGAAACCA